rnacentral:rRNA from 1 species
GUGGGGAAUUUUGGACAAUGGGGGCAACCCUGAUCCAGCCAUGCCGCGUGCGGGAAGAAGGCCUUCGGGUUGUAAACCGCUUUUGUCAGGGAAGAAAUCCUUUGGGUUAAUACCUCGGAGGGAUGACGGUACCUGAAGAAUAAGCACCGGCUAACUACGUGCCAGCAGCCGCGGUAAUACGUAGGGUGCGAGCGUUAAUCGGAAUUACUGGGCGUAAAGCGUGCGCAGGCGGUUUUGUAAGAUCGAUGUGAAAUCGCCGGGCUCAACCUGGGAAUUGCGCUUGUGACUGCAAGGCUGGAGUGCGGCAGAGGGGGAUGGAAUUCCGCGUGUAGCAGUGAAAUGCGUAGAUAUGCUGAGGAACACCGAUGGCGAAGGCAAUCCCCUGGGCCUGCACUGACGCUCAUGCACGAAAGCGUGGGGAGCAAACAGGAUUAGAUACCCGGGUAGUCC